AUUGAACGCUGGCGGAAUGCUUUACACAUGCAAGUCGAACGGCAGCACGGACUUCGGUCUGGUGGCGAGUGGCGAACGGGUGAGUAAUGUAUCGGAACGUGCCCAGUCGUGGGGGAUAACGUAGUGAAAAUUACGCUAAUACCGCAUACGAUCUAUGGAUGAAAGCGGGGGAUCGCAAGACCUCGCGCGAUUGGAGCGGCCGAUAUCAGAUUAGGUAGUUGGUGGGGUAAAGGCCCACCAAGCCAACGAUCUGUAGCUGGUCUGAGAGGACGACCAGCCACACUGGAACUGAGACACGGUCCAGACUCCUACGGGAGGCAGCAGUGGGGAAUUUUGGACAAUGAGCGAAAGCCUGAUCCAGCCAUUCCGCGUGCAGGAUGAAGGCCCUCGGGUUGUAAACUGCUCUUGUACAGAACGAAAAGGUUUCUACUAAUACUAGGAGCUCAUGACGGUACUGUAAGAAUAAGCACCGGCUAACUACGUGCCAGCCGCCGCGGUAA
rnacentral:rRNA from 1 species